CUGGUCCCCAGAGCAGGUUGUAACCCAGAGGAACUGGGCUUUUUCUGGCCUGGCCAAUGUGCCCUCUUGGAAGCUGUGCCUGCCCUAGAAACCACUGCAGGCUGAUGGCUUGAUCAGGCCAAGGCCAGGAAGGCAGCCUUGGGUAGGUGCUGGCCUGGGCUCACUGCCUUCUCCCUUCUUCUACCUUCCUCUCCCAUCUAGGUCCCUGCAAUGGGAGGGUUUCUCCAUUGCUUCUCCCCAGACUUCCCACUCCAGGGGUCCCUUCCAAAAAAGCAGAUGGCCGGGGCCUAAAAUUCCAGCCCCCUCCCCCAGUGCAGAAUGGCAAGUUCCCAGCACCAACUCCAGCCAUCCAGUGGGGACUGAAACCUCAGAUUGCAGGGUACCAGCCUUCGAAUGGCUAUGGACCAGGAGCAGAACUGGGCUUUGGUGAUGGCCUCAAACUCCAGAAAGUUGGUGAGCCCUGAGGGUCCUCAUCUUGGGCAUGAACUGGCACCUCCCUCAUGGCGAGCCCUCCUCAUUGCUUUCUUUUAUCAUGUCUGUCUGUCUCUUUCCUCAUUCACUCAGCACAUUUUUACUACGCACUGGGCCAUUAUGGUGGCCAGAACCAGGUGCAAUCCUGACUCAGGUGAGGGUAGAGGGACAGACUGAAGCCAGGUGGAAAGGGAAGCUGCCCAGAGGGAAGCCAGGGAAAUUUCUGGAAGGUGAAGGUUGAAUAGGGUUAGCUUGAGGGUGGGGGUGAUGUGAGAGGCUCUCUCUAGGUGGCCUCUGAGUCAGUCAAUCUAUCUGUCUCUCCAAGAGCAGGUCACUCUGGGCUCCCCAAUACCACCCUCCCCUCCAGGCUCUCUCCAACCUCUCUCCUGUAGGUUUCAGUUACGGGAAUGGUGGUCUGGGAACUGGGGUCUUCCCUGAGACCCUCCCAAAGCCAGGGUUCCCUGGGGCCAAUGGCUUUAGGAAUGGGUAUGGCAAGGAAAUGUUGAUGUACCCCAAAGCAGAAGCUCCAGCUCCUGAAGGAAAUGGUCAGGCCGGGGCCCUGAGGGGCAUUCCUUGGCCCUUCCUCCAAACCUGGGAGUCUUCACUGAACUCUGGAUAUGGAGCCAAAGGUGCAUAUCCAGGGAUAAGGAGCCAGCCAGGGCCCUAUGGGCAACUGAGGCCAGAGCUGGGCCCCAGGCCCUUCGGGGGGCCCUGAGGCGAAGAGAGGCAGCAGUGGCAGAUUGGAAAAUGGCAAUGGAGGCCAUUGCCCUUCUGGGAAAUGCUGAGCAUCCAAGCUGAUCCACUGCCCAUCCUGAGUGCCUCUGUACCAGAACCUGGUCUGCUGGGUGAGAACGACCAGACCCUCAGACUUGGCCUCUGACCUGGGGUCUCCUGCAGUC